rfam:Spinacia oleracea cultivar SynViroflay scaffold11977.con0003.1, whole genome shotgun sequence.
AUCCUACUAGCUCAAUAGGUAGAGCAUUGUGCUAAUGCACAAAAGAUGUGGGUUCGAAUCCCACGUAGGUUC